rnacentral:rRNA from 1 species
GACGAACGCUGGCGGCGUGCUUAACACAUGCAAGUCGAACGGAAAGGCCCUGCUUUUGUGGGGUGCUCGAGUGGCGAACGGGUGAGUAACACGUGAGUAACCUGCCCUUGACUUUGGGAUAACUUCAGGAAACUGGGGCUAAUACCGGAUAGGAGCUCCUGCUGCAUGGUGGGGGUUGGAAAGUUUCGGCGGUUGGGGAUGGACUCGCGGCUUAUCAGCUUGUUGGGGGGGUAGUGGCUUACCAAGGCUUUGACGGGUAGCCGGCCUGAGAGGGUGACCGGCCACAUUGGGACUGAGAUACGGACCAGACUCCUACGGGAGGCAGCGGGGGGGAAUAUGGCACAAUGGGCGGAAGCCUGAUGCAGCAACGCCGCGUGCGGGAUGACGGCCUUCGGGUUGUAAACCGCUUUCGCCUGUGACGAAGCGUGAGUGACGGUAAUGGGUAAAGAAGCACCGGCUAACUACGUG